GAAGUCAAUAGUGGCAAAAUCUUAUGGGAUUUGUGAAACUGAUUAGUGGAAUUGUUGCUAUCGAAUUUAAUCUUUUUAAUUGUGUGGAUGCCUUUUGGUUGGAAUCUUUGUAAUCAAUACGGGACUAUGAUGUCAAAUAUUGAAAGACAUAUCCGUUUCCCUUUUCUUCUUUAAAAUAAAAAAUUAAAUAAAUUUGCAAAAACAAUAAUCAGUAAAUCCAAUUUAAAAGAAAUAAUUUUAUAAUAUUUAUUUUUUUAAUUAUUUUCUAAUACUAUAUUUAAUUAAAAUUUAUUAAAAAAUUUAUUUAAUUUAAAAAAUAUAAAAAAAUA
rnacentral:lncRNA from 1 species